rnacentral:rRNA from 1 species
UACGUAGGGGGCAAGCGUUGUCCGGAAUCAUUGGGCGUAAAGAGCGUGUAGGCGGCUCGAUAAGUCUGCUGUGAAAGUCCAGGGCUCAACCCUGGAAGGCCGGUGGAAACUGUCGGGCUAGAGUGCGGAAGGGGCUACUGGAAUUCUCGGUGUAGCGGUGAAAUGCGUAGAUAUCGAGAGGAACACCUGCGGCGAAGGCGGGUAGCUGGGCCGACACUGACGCUGAGGCGCGAAAGCCAGGGGAGCGAACGGG